GUCUCUGUGGCGCAAUCGGCUAGCGCGUUCGGCUGUUAACCAAAAGGUUGGUGGUUCGAGCCCACCCAGGGACG